rnacentral:rRNA from 1 species
AUACGGAGGGGGCUAGCGUUGUUCGGAAUUACUGGGCGUAAAGCGCGCGUAGGCGGCAUGUCAAGUUGGGUGUGAAAGCCCGGGGCUCAACCCCGGAAUUGCAUUCAAAACUGGCAAGCUAGAGACCGAGAGAGGUGAGUGGAAUUUCCAGUGUAGAGGUGAAAUUCGUAGAUAUUGGAAAGAACACCAGUGGCGAAGGCGGCUCACUGGCUCGGUACUGACGCUGAGGUGCGAAAGCGUGGGUAGCAAACAGGAUUAGAAACCCGGGUAGUCC